GGGCACAUGGUGUAGUUGGUUAUCACAUCCGCUUAGCAUGUUGCUUGUUCUUUGCGGGGGGUGCUGGGUUCAAUUCCCAGUGUGUCCA
rfam:Lentinula edodes NBRC 111202 DNA, contig: scaffold1052.